rnacentral:lncRNA from 1 species
CCUGUUAACAACUUACCUUCCAUUACCAUCACCUCAAAAAUAUGUAUAUCUAGUUGAGCUGAAAUACGCAACAAACAGAUAAGAAACUGAAAACUAAUUUUACCAUCAUUCAUUUAUUUUCGAUGAUAAAAUUUUUAAAUCAACGAUCGAUAUUAUUGAAUAUAAUCUAUACUACUUAAAAUUUUUAAAAACUAAAUUUUAUAUUUUUUCAAUAUAAUUGUCUCAUCCAUCAAAAUGAACGACUAAAAAUAAAUAUCCUUUAAAAAGUAAUAAUAUGAAUCUUAUAAUCAAGGUCUAGACUAUAAAUUCUGUUCUAAACAGUUUAAAAAAAAUUUUAAUUAAAAUUUAAUUAAUUUAGAUAUCUUUACACUGUUAGACGAGAAAAUAUCUCAUAUCGAUAAUUAAAAUUACAAAUUUUAAAACCCUUUGAUCAUUAAGUCAAUUAUGUUAAAAAGAUUUAAAAUUUGAUUUCUAAAUACUUAAAGUGGUAUAGAUUAUAUUCAACGGUGUUGAUCGUCAAUUUGAAGGCUUCAUCAUCGAAAAUAAAUGGGCGGUAACGGAGCCCAUUUGCUAUCGAUAGCAUCUCAGCGCAACUAUAUAUAUAUAUAUAUAUAGUAUUAAAUUUUAAUCAUAUUAAUAUAAGCUUGAAGUUCAACUCCUCAUAUUUCUUUCAUCGAAAAUUAAUGAAAUGAUCAGUUGAGGUAGAAUACUUUGGAGAGUAUAAGGACUUACACGCGCAGCCAAACCUGUUUCCAGAGGGAGACGGACAUUCCAAAUUCUGGCAGCGGUGAUUCGCCCUCAAAACCCUUCAAAUCCCCCUCUUUACAUAUCUCAAGGCAGAUAUAAUAUCUACAUCUAUAAAAGAAAUACAAAGAGAAAGAAAAAGAAAUAAGCUGUCACAUGUAGGUAGAUAUGUCCAUCAUUCCAGUGGUUGGUUAUAAGAAACAAAUACUAUAGGAUGCACGUACGCUAUUGUCUCCAGGCUUUUGAUGCUAAUUUUUGUUGUUAAAGGUCCCCAGCUCAUAGCAGUAUAUAUUAACUAGAGCAUUUUAUAUUCUCUCUUUGGCUUUUAAAGGAGAUUAUUAUUUGGAAAAGUGCUUUUGAUUGUUGGAAGCACGUAUGUGAGAGAGGUGGGAGCCACACCUUAAAAGCAGUAAAAGGCUAAAAGCUGGUAUGUAUCACAAGGGUGCAGUAUUCAAGUGGUUAUGAAGUAGCGCACCCUAAUGAAUAAUUUCACUGUCACGUGUCAGGUUGAAAUAAUACUCCCUAGUCCCCUUGUCUCUGUGGAGGGAGUGGACAUUUUCUUGUUGGAGGAUAGUGUGACGAUGUGGUCUUUGUGCGAGGGGUGUAUUGGGAUCUUCCUUCCCCGCACCCCAUGGUCCUCCAUUGUAUCAUCCUAUCACAAAUCUAACUUAGAUAAAAAAAAAUGUAUAAAAUUUAUCUUAAAUUAUUAUUGUAAACAACAUUUUGUAAAAAAUGUAUACUCUGCCAUGUGCCAGAAUAUAACUUCACGAAAUAUAUGGUAAACAAACUAUUUUGCAACCUUUUUUUAAAAUAAUUCAAGUAUUUUAGAAGACUCCAAAAGAAAAAAAAAAUCAAUAGAAUAAUUGAGAGGAAGAGAUGGAGCAUCAAAGCCUUGCAUUUAAAUUUCAAAUCAUGUCAGUUUUGAAGUAAAAAAAAAAGGCUUAAUUACACUAUUACAUUGUACUGUAGUGUAGACAUUAAAAAAAAAAACAAUUUGUAAAUUACAAUGUAGUAUAGUAUUAUUAAGCCAAAAAAAAUCCAAGAUAUAUAUGCCAAUUCAGAAUUCAACAUAAUCCAAAUACUUACUCACCGACUAUCCCUAGAGCAAGUGGCAAAGGAUUUGGUGGUUGAUAUCCGAGUUCCCAAGUUCGAAUCCUAAUUGAUUAAUAUUUUUAGCUAAGUUUAUUUUUAAAUAAAAUAAACAAAACAGGUAGCGUGCUACCUAUUUCUAAAAAAAAAAAAUACUUACUCUAAAUAUAAAAAAAGGACAGUCAACUACUUACAUAACAAAACGAGAAUGGUGUCUAUUCUAAUCUGAAGUCUACUCUGCAGUAACUCCAUCAAAGAGAAUCAGAGAUAGGAGGAAAAACACUAUUAAGAAAGCAGCAGAAAUNAAUAUAUAUAUAUAUAUAUAUAUAUAUAUAUAUAUAUAUAUAUAUAUAUAGUUGAGCUGAAAUACGUAAAAAAACAGAUAACAAACUGAAAACUAGUUUUACCGUUAUUCAUUUAUUUUCGAUGAUGAAAUUUCUAAAUCAACGAUCGGUACUGUUGAAUAUAAUAUAUACUAUUUGAAAUUUCUAGAAACCAAAUUUUAUAUUUUCUCAAUAUAAUUGUCUUGUUCAUCAAAAUGACGAUUAAAAAUAAAUAUUCUUUAAAAAGUGAUGAUAGGAAUCUUAUAAUCAAGAUCUAGACUAUAAAUUCUGUUCUAAACAGUUUUUUUAAAAAAAUUUAAUUAAAAUUUAAUUGAUUUAGAUAUCUUUACACUGUUAGACGAGAAAAUGUCUUAUAUCGAUAAUUAAAAUUACAAAUUUUAAAACCAUUUGAUCAUUAAGCCAAUUAUGUUAAAAAGAUUUAAAAUUUGAUUUCUAAAUACUUAAGGUGGUAUAGAUUAUAUUCAACGGUGUUGAUCGUCAAUUUGAAGACUUCAUCAUCGAAAAUAAAUGGGCAGUAACGGAGCCCAUUUGCUAUCGAUAACAUUUCAGCGCAAUNAA